rnacentral:tRNA from 1 species
GCUCGCGUGAUGGAAUUUGGUAGACAUGGCAGACUCAAAAUCUGCUGGCUGUUGGGCCGUGUGGGUUCGAGUCCCACUGCGAGUA